GUUCCUGCUGCAGCCUGAAAAGGACCUGCCACACAGGAAGGCUGGCUGCUAUAUUUAACACAGGGGAACUUUUUUCCUUGGGUGGAACUGGAACGGGCGGACGAGAGGUGACAUGGCAAAAUCAGUUGUGCCUGAGACAGCCAAAGCAGCCCCAAGAGAUCCAAGAUGCAAAGGUCAAAGAGCAGCUCAGCAGGUCGACGGGACCACCGAUAAUCCCAUGCUGCUACAAACUGUGAUGCCUAUGGACAGAUCUGGCAUCCUAGAGCAGCCUUGAGCAGGCAGCUGGAGUGCUGUGCGGUUCCAGAAGGUAAGGAGGUAAAUAUAUGGCAGUCCGCCUCAAAAGUGGCAAAUCAAAGCACGACAUGCAUGGGGCAAAUAGAGAAGAAAGCAAGCCCUGCUUCCCCUAGCUUUUUGCUCCCUUAGAGAAUCACACAAGUACAAAACCAUGAAAACAAUAACCCCAGCUGCAGAGGCAAUGAAGCAAUUUGUUAGGGAGAUGACAUUUUUAAUGAGAAACACUUGCUGGAGGAGAACAAAAGGCCCUGUUUGGUCAGAGAGAUGCUCUUGAUACUCUUCUGAAGUGCAUGAAAAAGUAAUUUCAUUUAAGCGUCAUACACAGAGCAGCUGAAUUUCCUGAGGCUCCAGAUGUUGUCCUGUGCAGAUGCUGAACAAAUGGAACUCUGUCCUGAUGAAAUGAAAAGAAAAAAGCAAGCCUUCCUAAACCAAAACCCAUGCACCAAAGUAUUUCACAUCUUAAAAGAAAAAAAAGAAAAAAAAAAAAAAGAGAGAGGAGAGAAAGAAAACCAUGCAAAUUGGGGAGAAAGGAAGUUCUUGAAAGCGACAAUGUUUUAUUGGACAUAGGGCUAACUGUUCUUAAUUGCACUAUAGAUAAUUGAAGGAGCUGAGAAUCUGGAUUUGCAAAAUACCAAGUUCUGGCUCUGUCGCCUCUUUUUCUUGGCUUUGUGCUGCUUCUCUUUGACAGUUAUCUGGCUGCUAUUCCACUGAUUUUGUUUCCUAGGAAGGGGCAGAUCCUGUGAGCUUUUAUUGGGCCAGAAGUUACUGGAACUUUCCUGGGUGAGUGUCAGGUUCAGAAUCAACUGAAAAAUUAUAAUCAAUACUUCACUAAAUGGGUCUCAUAGCAAAAGCGCAAAUGUGCUUCCUAACUUGAGAUUACACUAACUUGCUUCCUGAGUUUUGGGGAGGAUAAGGAGCUUAGUGCCUCUGUGGUAACAGCUUUUGAAAUAAGAGAUCAGACCAAGAUCAGCUCUCACGUUAAUGAAGACUAAUGAAACAUAACGACCUUGAUACUCAAAUACUUCAUUCCUGAGCCUUGGGAUGAGUGACAAAAGUAGAUUCAGAUGAUUACUAGUCUUUAUCCUUCUACAUGGCCUAUGCAGAUUCUGAUGUAAAUGAGAAUAGCCUUAGGCCUGCUGGCUUACGUUCUAUUUUUUCCUGCCCUUUUAGGCUCUGAGAAAUGGAGACUAUUCACUCUUUCUUCCAAAGCCCAAGUUUCCUUCUGAUACAGCAUUAUCCUUCUGCUAAGUGGUAGCAGAUGAGCGAGUCUCCAGCGCUGCACAAACACGAGAGCAUUCCUACCUCUUACAUAGGCCCCUUCCUAAGGAGCAAGGCUGUCACAGACAACUCAGCCUUUGACAAAGCAAUAAUAAAAGCCAGGUUUGUGAUGCUGGUC